GAGAGUUAAAUAGCACGUGAAAUUGUUGAAAGGGAAACGAUUGAAGCCAGUCGUACCGGCGGAUAAUCAGCCUUUCGGGUGCGAUUCUGUGGGGCGUGAGGAGCUUAACCGCCUUCAUGUUUUGCAUAUUCGUGCACAUUUGGUGUACUUGUCCGUGUGGUGGGUUAACAUCAAUUUUGGUGGUCAUAAAAUGACUGGAGGAAUGUAGCUUCGAUCUCGUAUUGAAGUGUUAUAGCCUUCGGUAGAUGUGAUGACUGAGAUUGAGGAUUGCAACGGAUACCCCUCGGGGCUACCUGUCUGAUCUCUGAUCGUUGCUCUGGUGCCGAAAGCUUGCUUACGGUUGUCAAAGUCGAUGGUCAAUAGGUUAGAAUGGGUUAAAUUCGUUAAGGAUGUUGACGUAAUGGCUUUAAACGA
rnacentral:rRNA from 1 species